rnacentral:misc_RNA from 1 species
UUUGGGAUGGGAUGGGGAGCAGAGCAGAGUUUGAGUGGGGAAGUCUGUGCACAGUUUAAAGUUUUCCUGGAGGCUCUUUGUUUCUUGUACUAAAGGGGCUUUCUUAUCUACUGGCAUCCUUCUUGGCUCAAGUUUCUUAAGUGUUGAGAUUCUUGCCUAAUUAGUUUUCUGUAAUCGUGUGUAAUAUUCUAGGAUCUGUAAAAUAGCCUAAAAAUCUGUAUCUUUAUUCUUAUGUACUCUCCUAUUUUGUAGACUGCUGUAAACGCUAUAAAUUCCCAAUCAGCUUGAGGGAAUAAUCAAGCUCUAAAAUUCCUCCAUAAUCCUCUUCUAUUUUCUGUCCUCUUUAUUUUCAUUAGGGUUUGUCUGUGGUAGGCCUGUAUCAUAAUCCUAUAUUGAUUGAGGCUGUUUUUCAUUUUUUUUCUCCUGUAG